AGCGCAGGCGGACGGCUAAGUCUGAUGUGAAAGCCCGGGGCUCAACCCCGGGACUGCAUUGGAAACUGGUUGUCUUGAGUGUCGGAGAGGUAAGUGGAAUUCCUAGUGUAGCGGUGAAAUGCGUAGAUAUUAGGAGGAACACCAGUGGCGAAGGCGGCUUACUGGACGACAACUGACGCUGAGGCUCGAAAGCGUGGGGAGCAAACA
rnacentral:rRNA from 1 species